AACGAACGCUGGCGGCAGGCCUAACACAUGCAAGUCGAGCGCUCUCUUCGGAGGGAGCGGCGGACGGGUUAGUAACGCGUGGGAACGUACCCAGAUCUAAGGAAUAGCCUCGGGAAACUGAGAGUAAUACCUUAUACGCCCUUAGGGGGAAAGAUUUAUCGGAUUUGGAUCGGCCCGCGUUAGAUUAGAUAGUUGGUGGGGUAAUGGCCUACCAAGUCUACGAUCUAUAGCUGGUUUUAGAGGAUGAUCAGCAACACUGGGACUGAGACACGGCCCAG
rnacentral:rRNA from 1 species